CCUACGGGAGGCAGCAGUGGGGAAUAUUGGGCAAUGGAGGAAACUCUGACCCAGCGACGCCGCGUGCGGGAUGAAGGCCUUCGGGUUGUAAACCGCUUUCAGUAGGGAAGAAGCGAAAGUGACGGUACCUACAAAAGAAGCACCGGCUAACUAUGUGCCAGCAGCCGCGGUAAUACAUAGGGUGCAAGCGUUGUCCGGAAUUAUUGGGCGUAAAGAGCUCGUAGGUCGUUUGUUACGUCGGAUGUGAAAACCUGAGGCUCAACCUCAGGCCUGCAUUCGAUACGGGCAAACUAGAGUUUGGUAGGGGAGACUGGAAUUCCUGGUGUAGCGGUGGAAUGCGCAGAUAUCAGGAGGAACACCAAUGGCGAAGGCAGGUCUCUGGGCCAAUACUGACACUGAGGAGCGAAAGUCUGGGGAGCGAACAGGAUUAGAUACCCUGGUAGUCCAGACCGUAAACGGUGGGCACUAGUUGUGGGAACCUUCCACGGUUUCUGCGACGCAGCUAACGCAUUAAGUGCCCCCGCCUGGGGGAGGUACGAGUCGCGAAGAAUUAAACUAACAAUAGAAGUUAGUACGGCGUGAGACGUACGCCGACGGACGACCGACGAGGGAGGUAGG
rnacentral:rRNA from 1 species